UCCUGCACUGCCUGCAUAUACAUAUGAG
rnacentral:sRNA from 1 species